GGAUGCCCAGGACCAUAUCCAGAUGACUUUUGAAAUCUCCAAGGAUGAAGAUUCCACAACUUGGCAACCUGUUCUGGUGACUGAAAUUAGUGAGCAAUUGAGCCUUGUAAAUCGUGUUUGAAAGUGCUGGAUGAACUCAAGGAUCCAAACCUGUUUGACCAAGGGGAUUUUCAAAUGAUUUUUAUUUUCGGUAAACACAGGAGAACAGGAGAAAUGCGAGAAGGGACGGAUGGUAAAGAUGUGGUUUAAACCUGAGUUUGCCUGGAUGAAUUUGAUACCCUGACAGUAAAAGAAAAAGAAAUAGGAAGAUGGGAGGAGACACAACCAGGAGAGCUGACCCCAACUGACCAAAGGAACAUUCCACACCAUAUGACAUCAUGCUCAGCAUAUCAGACUGGGGAGAAAAAGUGGGAGAAGUUUGGAGUGACGACGUUUGUCUUCCUGGAGAAGACAGGAAGGCCAAGAGUUCGCUUGAAAGGAAACCAGAAGAAAACUGAAACCUGAUCUAUGGUCUCCUUAUCCCCUGCUAGAAUAUAUGGCCACCACAGCUGAACUGGUCAUCUUGGCAUCUUCCCAAACAAGUUAGAGACUUAUGAACUAAAUGUCUCUGUACUUAAACCCUUUAAGGACUUUUAUCGCUAGAGGUGUUCGGACCUUGUUUUUAUGGGCAAGGAACUGAAGAGCAUCAACAACCAUUUUCACGCAAAGAUAUGGCCUCCAUUAAAGAACUCUGGCUGCUGAUAAAAUGACAAUCAUAACACACUAAGUUCUGGAGGACUGACAUCUGGCUCCUUGGCAGACACCUCAGGCAACUGCAGUAAUGACUUUGGAGAUGGCUGUGUAUCUGUAAUAGAGUUUUUUGUCUGGAUUGUAUUAACCUCUUACUCUCUAAGACAUUUUGUCCUAUAGCUCAUAUUGGAAUUACUGAACCACUCAUAACCCUGACUUACAAGUGUUUUCUUGUGUUUCAAUCUGCUACUGUGUGUUGGUUUUGCUGUUUGGGUUUGCCCCCCUCCCAGGAAGCCGUAAGCAUACUUUGCAAAAACUUCAAAAGGAAGAUUUUGUCAACUGGAAUUGUAUUUUUAAUGCUUGAUAAAACUGAAGAUUUUAGACAACACUUACUGCUUCUUAAGAAAAGGUGCUAUAAAGGAAGUGCAUACCUACUGAAUGCUUAGAAUUGAGAACUGCACCUCAAACUCAUUUGUAUGAAACAACGAUUCUAAUUAUAAAAGUUAAAAAAGAAAAAAUAAAUAUUUCUUGUAAGAUGAGUGUGUAUGAAAGUAUAAGGGCAAGUGUAGCAGGGAAGGAUGCUGAAACUGAAACCAUACACUGUUGAGAGUUCAACGAAAACAAUAUUUAUUAUGAAGAGGUGACCAACAAAACGAAAACCCGAGAGAGAGGAAGGAGGAGGAAAAUUAGCCCUCAGUACAGCUCCCCAUCUCACCCAGACAUUGCUUAUGAAGUUUUUUUACUGACUCCAGAAUGCCUAGAAUUACCCAUAGCAGAAGCUGCAUUCUUGGAGUGUCGGCAGGCUCACAAGAUAGCGGGCGUCCCCACAAGAGGCAACGUUGUCCUUUGAUGUGAAGCUUGUGGUCACUCCCAGCACGAGCUAUCUGCUUAUUAUGCAAUUAAUUGCUGACAUCUACCUGGGUAGGUAUGGCCAGCACUGCCCAGAUAGAGGCCUUCAGUGCUUCCCCCCAUUAUGUAAGUGGUAUCUCUCCUGAGCAUGCGUGGGUACUCUGGAAUGUCCCCGCAUCUGCAUGCUGCACCUCAGGGGGUCUUUCCUAAAAGAGUCUGGGGGCUUACUUCAUCCUCCUCCUCUUCACUUUCUUCUACAAAUGCCCUUGAAAGGCCAUCAGCCAGCAGGAAGGUACCAAUUAAAUAUAGUUUAUACAAAAUACUCCCUUCAAGGACAAAAGUUCUCGUUUAUCAGUACUUGUUUUCCUCUAACUUGGCAGGAAAAGAAUAAACUCUUACAGGUGGCUGGACCAACCACAAACCGAAAAAUAGCAGCAUCUAAUUAAGUAUGAAUACAGCAAGCAUAGCACACAGUAUUUUUAACUUGGAGCUGAAACAUUCUUGAAUGUUUUUAGGUCAAAAUAUUUGCCAAAUUAAUAGGGAAUGAAUGGAAAAUGUACUGUCUUCACUUUUUUGAGGUAUAUAGUAAAAUCUGUGUGAUCUAUUAAAUGUCAGUUAGAAGAUAUCUGAAAUCCUGUAUUUUGAAAUAAAAUCACUUUUUAACUCUCUUAGGUUUCAUUGUAGCUGACUGAUCCACGUCAUGUAUAAAACCUAGAAACACUGACUGGAUGCAUUUAUUUCCUGGAGAAGAAUUGUAGAUACCUUGGACAGAUCUUCUUAGUGUAUGAGAAUCAUCUAUAUGGCAUAAGAGACAACUAAUUUCGUAUUUACAGCCAUUCUGAAAUUUAAAUUCUUUAACUUUCCUUGCCCAUAUACAACUAAUGUUUCAAAUGUAGUCAGCAGGUACAACCCCUAGGCAACAGUACCAUCUUCUGUACUGUUUAUGAGGUGAUUGACCUUCAGAAACCUGAACUUUGUAGAAAGAGGCACAGCACAGCACCUAUGCAGACAGAUAGCAACAGACACAGUGUGAUAACUAAGACACAGGACCACGAAGAGAUAGCUAAAUGUCUUUCUUUCGAUCUAAGAAGCACUAUGAAGCUAAAAAGCAAUCUGCCCCCAGAUUAUAUCUUCUAGAAAUUAUAUGAUAGCACUGUGCUUCAGCCAUUUUAAUUUAUGAACAUGAAAAUUCUAUUUUAUCGGGGGAGAAGUGACAUAUUAUACAACUGGUAAUGCAGCUUUCUUGUUACCUUAAGACUUACACUCUCUAGGAUUUCACCUUCACCAAGAAAAUAGCUAGCAGAGAUCACAGCACAACAGAAUAUGCUGAGUUGGAAGGCAUCCACAGGGAUCAUCAAGUCCAGCCC